GUUGAGUGGGAAUAAAGAGCUAAUAUAAUAUGAAUGGGGAAUGCCUAUUUAACAGCAUUUAUGGGCAUGUAAAACGGGCAAAAAUGACUUAGUUUAAUAUGGUUCCCUGCCAAAAACCCUGCCAAGAAAAUUCUUAGCAGGGUUUUACUU
rfam:Vagococcus fluvialis bH819 genome assembly, contig: Scaffold5